AUUUCCCAUUAAUUGCCUCUAUCGAUUAAAGUCCACCUCCCCCGCGCUGUAUACAGAGGAGCUCGUUUGUGUCUGUCCGCGUGAGUGCGUGUCUGUGUGUGUGAGGGAGAGUCUUUUCAGUUUAAAGGGAAAAAAGGAGACAAAAUCAAAGCCCCAAGACUCUUGUUGAUUACAAAUUGACUCGAUUGACGCCCAGAUUUUAUGCCAGUAGAAAACUGCAUAAUUCUUUUAUUUUUUCCUGAAUUAGGGUUUACUUGAAGAAAAUUCUUCCAUACACAAUGUCUAGUGCGUGGGCUAGGGUUUGUUAUGUUAGUGGCCAAUAAAUCUUAUGUAGGUUUAGAUAAUAAUCGAUAAUUCUAGGUUGUUUCGAGAGGGCGGCUUACCGAUGGGGAGCACAGGUGAAGCUGAUCGAAAGCGUCGUCAUUUUAGCUCUAUAUCACCCACUGCCGCUACCGUGAAGAAACACCCCCUUGUGCCCUUAUCCGAGGAUAAAAAGCUCGAUGCAGCAGUACUUCAAUUUCAAAAUCAGAAACUUACCCAGAAGUUAGAAGCUCAAAAGGUCGAGAUUCGUGCUCUGCAUUCCAAAUUAUGUAAAUUAAAGGAGAAACAAAACUUACAUGAGAAGACUUUGGCUGUGGUUAAUAAUUCAUGGGAAGAGCUGGUUGAUGACUUGGAAUCACGUUCUAAUCACAUAAAAGACUUGGUGACAAGUGGACGAGGUUUUGAACAACAAAUUGUCAAAGAUGAUGGUGAUUCACCUCCUGAGAAAGCUUUUUUAGGCCGCCUCUUGGAAAUGGGCGCAACUGAAAGUAGCUCAGCUGGCACAACCACAGAUCUGACUGAAGAUGAUAGGCAAAUUGAUGGUGGAAAGACAGAGAGAAUAUUACAUAAAACGGCUAAUGUGUGUGAGGAUUUGGGUAAGCUGAAGAGUAGCUUGUCUACAGCAUGUUUCAACGUGCUUCCAUCUGAUGGAUGGAGCCAGCAGGGGUUAUCAUGUGAUUUGUUGGCGGAAGUUAAGAAUCUAAGACUGGCAGUGAGAAGUAUUCACUUGAAGCACAAAUCACUGGCCGCUGAAUUUCAGGGCCAUCGAGACACUGACACAAAGAAUAAUGCUGAUCUAAAAUGUUUGAAAGGGGAGUUGGAGAAUUCGAUUUCGGAAUUGGAAGAAAGCAACCGUAAUUUGGCAAUCCUAAAAGUCGAGAGAGAUUUGGCAAAAGGAGCAUCCUUUCCCAUACUGAAUCGACGAAACAAGCACGUCACCAGUGAUGACACUAGCAACAAACAAGACGAUCUGCUACAGAUGGAGUCGAUACUCAAGGAUUUAUUGAACCAAUCCUCUUCCCGACUACAGGAACUUAGACGUCUUCAUGAAGAUAGGAUAAAGAUAUUGAGGCAGUUAUCAAAUUUGCAAAACAAUCUGAAGAAUGUCAAAUGUAUUUGUUCCUCCCAAGCAUAUUUCCUGCUUAAAGAUCAACUUGAAAUGUCUAAAGCCAAUGUACUUCAAUAUCAAGCUCUUUAUGAGAAACUACAGGUUCAGAAGGACUGUCUUGCUUGGCGGGAAAAAGAAAUUUACAUGAAAAUUGAAUUGGUUGACGUUUUAUGUCGAUCUUCGAUGGUUGCCGAGUCUAGAAUAUCUGAUCUGGAGACAGAGAUUACAAAAUGCAUAGAAGAACAAAGGCUAAUUGAAGCCAAGCUGAUGGAGGCGUCUAGAGAACCUGGUAGGAAUGAAAUCAUUGCGGAGUUCAAAGCCUUAGUUUCUUCAUUUCCUGAGAAAAUGGGUAACAUGCAGAAUCAGUUAGUUCAACACAAGGAGACUGCUUCUUAUAUUCAAUGUUUGCGUGCUGAUGUUCAAUCUCUUACCAACAUUCUUGAUGGCAAGGCUAAGGAAUUGGACUCGUCAUCCAGAUCUGCUGAGCAAAAUGCUGAAAUACGGAAAUUACAAGCUGUGGUCCAUGAUUUAAAGGAAGCUGAUUCAGACUUGAAGCUUUUUUUGGAAAUGUAUAGAUGUGAAUCGAUUGAUUCAAGGGAAGUUGAUGAAGCCAGAAGUUCUGAGAUCAAGGCUUGGUCACAUGUUCAGAGCCUGAAGAAUUCUCUUGAUGAGCACAAUUUGGAGUUGCGAGUUAAAGCUGCCAUUGAAGCUGAGGCAAAAGCCCAGCAAAGGUUAGCCACUGGAGAGGCUGAGAUUGCUGAUCUGAGACAGAAGUUAGUUGCCUCUAAAAGAGAAAAAUCCAGGCUUUCUGAUGUCCUAAACUCCAAACAUGAGGAAACAGAGGCCUAUCUUUCAGAGAUUGAGACCAUUGGACAGGCAUACGAUGAUAUGCAGACUCAAAACCAAAAGCUUUUGCAGCAAAUCAGUGAAAGGGAUGACUAUAACAUGAAGCUUGUUUUUGAGGGAGUGCAUUCAAGGCAGAUGGGAGAUAAUCUACUUAUGAAAAAGCGUUCCCUGGAGAGAGCCAUACAACAAACCAAGACAUCUGAUGAUUUUUUUGAAACGAAAGUAGCUAGAAUUGAAGAUCAGUUGAAAGCCUACUUGGAUCAAAUUCAGAGACUCACAGAAGAUAGGGUCCGAAAGAUAGCUACUUUUGAAAAUACCCAAAAGAGACAGUUAGACGUGAGAAAGUCCUCUCAGCAACUGAUCGACACUCUUGAGGAAGCACAAGCCAAGGCUGACAGGGGUCGACUGGAUCUUGCCGAGCUGCAGAUAGAGCUAGAGAAAGAGAGGUGGUUGGAAUUUCUCUGUUAUGCUUUUCUAGCUUACUUACAACUAGAGAAAGAAAGUUUGCAUUUUUCCAGUUAUGUGGAGAUUUGAGAGAAAGAGAGUAGAGGCAGAUCUGGAAACUGUGAGAAGGAAGGCCGAACAAUUGAAGUCACAUGCUGACGGUUCGUCUGAAGCUGAAAAGCUUAAGCAGGAACUUGGGGAAUACAAGGAAAUACUGAAGUGCAUUGUUUGCCAUGAUAGGAGAAAAGAGGUGGUUAUCACAAAAUGUUUCCAUCUGUUUUGCAAUCCUUGUGUAAAAGGAAUUACUGAAUCGCGUCACCGCAAGUGCCCAGUAUGUGCAGCAAGUUUUGGGCCUAACGACGUCAAACCUGUAUACAUCUAACCAGGAGUUGGAGCUUGGCAGUGAUAACUGCACUGCCUCAGAUGCAUUUCAAACCAGACUUAGUGGACAAUGUUCACAUGUAUUUAUGUACUUAGAUAUGCUGAGACCAAAAGAUUCAUAGCAGGAAUUUCUAAAAGCUCCUCUUCCAUCCAUUGCAAAUCAGGGCCGCGGUUUCGCAUUUCUCUUGAAUUUUAUGUUGUAUAUAUAUUUACCGCUCUUAGCUAUAUUGGAUACUUUUUAACUUGCUACAUUGCAGUGUUAGGCAUGAAGUUUUGAGUGACCAUUUCAUUAAUAAAAAUUUCGACCCUAAGCCCCAUAGAAAGAGUGUUUACAAUUCUGACCAUCGUGUGAGGGAGGGAGGACAGUUCCAGAACUAAGGAGCAUUAAUUGAUUUUGGCGCCACAGUUCAAUUUGUUUUUGAAUACUUAUUGUUUUUAGUGUGAUUAGAUGAUUGAAAUGUAACUUGGGAUUCUUAAUAUGUAUGUGUAUAUACAAUUCCCGUUACAUGAUAGUAAUGAAAUUUUUUGGUCAUC